rnacentral:rRNA from 1 species
GACGAACGCUGGCGGCGUGCUUAACACAUGCAAGUCGAACGGUGAAGCGCUUUCCUUUUUGGUGGGCGUGGAGGAGUGGCGAACGGGUGAGUAAAACGAGAGUAACCUGCUUCCUCCUUCUGGAUAACGGAAUGAAAGUGUGGCUAAUACGGGAUAUUACGGGCCUGUGGAAGGAUGGGUCUGGGGGAGCUUUCGUUUCGGUGGGGGAUGGGCUCGCGGCCUAUCGGCUUGUUGGUGUGGUGAUGACCUACGAAGGCGCUGACGAGUAGCCGGCCUGGGAUGGUGGGCCGCCCCACAGGGGCUGAAACGCGGCCAAUACUCCUACAGGAGGCAGCAGGGGGUAUUAUUGCACGAUGGGCACAAUGCUGAUGCAGCGACGCCGCGGGAAAGAAGGAGUCCUUCUGGUUAUGAACCUCUUUCGCCAAUGAAGCGGGCCUGCCUCGUUUGUGGGUGUGUUGACGGUAGCUGGAUAAGAAGCGCCGGCUAACUACGUG